GAUGAACGCUGGCGGCGUGCCUAAUACAUGCGAGCCGAGCGAACGGACGAGAAGCUUGCUUCUCUGAUGUUAGCGGCGGACGGGUGAGUAACACGUGGAUAACCUACCUAUAAGACUGGGAUAACUUCGGGAAACCGGAGCUAAUACCGGAUAAUAUUUUGAACCGCAUGGUUCAAAAGUGAAAGACGGUCUUGCUGUCACUUAUAGAUGGAUCCGCGCUGCAUUAGCUAGUUGGUAAGGUAACGGCUUACCAAGGCAACGAUGCAUAGCCGACCUGAGAGGGUGAUCGGCCACACUGGAACUGAGACACGGUCCAGACUCCUACGGGAGGCAGCAGUAGGGAAUCUUCCGCAAUGGGCGAAAGCCUGACGGAGCAACGCCGCGUGAGUGAUGAAGGUCUUCGGAUCGUAAAACUCUGUUAUUAGGGAAGAACAUAUGUGUAAGUAACUGUGCACAUCUUGACGGUACCUAAUCAGAAAGCCACGGCUAACUACGUG
rnacentral:rRNA from 1 species